rnacentral:rRNA from 1 species
AGAGUUUGAUCUUGGCUCAGGAUGAACGCUGGCGGCGUGCUUAACACAUGCAAGUCGAACGGAGCGCCUGGAAGAGAGUUUUCGGACAAUCGGAAGGGAGGCUUAGUGGCGGACGGGUGAGUAACGCGUGAGGAACCUGCCUUGGAGAGGGGAAUAACAACUGGAAACAGUUGCUAAUACCGCAUGACGCAGUUGGGUCGCAUGGCUCUGACUGCCAAAGAUUUAUCGCUCUGAGAUGGCCUCGCGUCUGAUUAGAUAGUUGGCGGGGUAACGGCCCACCAAGUCGACGAUCAGUAGCCGGACUGAGAGGUUGGCCGGCCACAUUGGGACUGAGAUACGGCCCAGACUCC